AGGGAGGCUGAGUCCCAGGGCCUCACGCACUGUAUGUGCUGCAGCUUGGAGAAGGAAGCCCUGGAGGGCAGCCUGUUUGAGGUGCAAUGGCAGCUGGCCCAGCUUGAGGCCCGCCGGGAGCAGCUGGAAGCCGAGGGGCAGGCCCUGCUGCUGGCCAAGGAGACCCUGACUGGAGGCAGCAUGGCGGGAGCUGGAGGCCGAGCGGGCCCAGCUGCAGAGUCAGCUGCAGCGUGAGCAGGAGGAGCUGCUGGCCCGGCGGAAGGCUGAGAAGGAACAGCUGAGUGAGGAGAUUGCUGCCCUGCAGCAGGAGCAUGACGAGGGCCUCCUCCUGGCCGAGAGCGAGAAGCAGCAGGCCUUGUCUCUGAAGGAGUCUGAGAAGAUGGCGCUGUCAGAGAAGUUGAUGGGUACACGGCACAGCCUGGCCACCAUCUCCCUGGAGAUGGAGCGGCAGAAACCAGAUGCCCAGAGCCGGCAGGAGCAGGACCGGGUAGGCCUGCCGUCGUAGGGAGGCUUGCGGAGCAGGAGCGCCCUCUCUCCACCGAGCUAUCCCGCGGUUUCCAGCAUCCCAUCUGGCGGACUCCUCUUCCUCUCUCUUCUCCUACUCUGGGUCUUCUAUCCUGGUGUUCCUUGAAUGCCUAUCUUCCUUUUGUGCCUCGGAACCUCUCACGCCUGCCACAAGUUACUCUUUUCCUUGGUAGUUCUGAACUUUAAAUAAGGUAAUGCCUGUAAGAAUGCCAUAAAUGCUCAAUAAUUGUCAUCUGUUAUUAUUUUCAUCAGUAACAUCAUCUGAAUCAUCAGUAUUGUCUGCUUUUAACAGCUGCAUUUUUCAUUGUCCAAAUAUAGUCACAUACAUUUGACCAUUUUAUAAUUAUUGAAUAAUAAAUUUGUUCUGCUAUUUUACAAUGAAAAAUAAUGCUGCAGAGAGCAUUUUUGCACAUGUAUCGUGGCAGAUGUAGGCCAGAGGCUCUUCUUUUAUCCAUCCUAUGGCCAACCUAUGAAUGUAUACACGUUUAAUGAGAUUUUGCCAGCAAUCAAAGCCUUCAGGGAAAAUGUCCCUAGCUCUUUACUACAUCAGAUCAAGGACUCUGGAUAAUUGGCAUAACAUCCUGGAAUAGCUGAAACAGAGAUAUUAUUCUCUGCUCUCCUCUGUUGUCUUUGUCUUUUCACGUCUUAAUAAAAGUGCUGGUGACAAGAGUGUAA
ensembl:lncRNA novel transcript